CCUACGGGUGGCAGCAGUGGGGAAUAUUGCACAAUGGGGGAAACCCUGAUGCAGCGACGCCGCGUGAGUGAAGAAGUAUUUCGGUAUGUAAAGCCCUAUCAGCAGGGAAGAAAAUGACGGUACCUGACUAAGAAGCCCCGGCUAACUACGUGCCAGCAGCCGCGGUAAUACGUAGGGGGCAAGCGUUAUCCGGAUUUACUGGGUGUAAAGGGAGCGUAGACGGCAGCGCAAGUCUGGAGUGAAAGCCCGUGGCUUAACCAUGGAACUGCUUUGGAAACUGGGCAGCUGGAGUGCAGGAGAGGCAAGCGGAAUUCCUAGUGUAGCGGUGAAAUGCGUAGAUAUUAGGAGGAACACCAGUGGCGAAGGCGGCUUACUGGACUGUAACUGACGUUGAGGCUCGAAAGCGUGGGGAGCAAACAGGAUUAGAUACCCCUGUAGUC
rnacentral:rRNA from 1 species